UACAGGGGGGGCAAGCGUUGUUCGGAAUUACUGGGCGUAAAGGGCCAGUAGGCGGCCAACUAAGUCGGAUGUGAAAUCCCCAGGCUUAACCUGGGAACUGCAUCCGAUACUGGUCGGCUUGAAUUCGGGAGAGGGAUGCAGAAUUCCAGGUGUAGCGGUGAAAUGCGUAGAUAUCUGGAGGAAUACCGGUGGCGAAGGCGGCAUCCUGGACCGACAUUGACGCUGAACGGCGAAAGCUAGGGGAGCAAACGGG
rnacentral:rRNA from 1 species